rnacentral:rRNA from 1 species
UGUGCCUACGGGAGGCAGCAGUGAGGAAUAUUGGUCAAUGGCCGAGAGGCUGAACCAGCCAAGUCGCGUGAGGGAAGACGGCCCUACGGGUUGUAAACCUCUUUUGUCGGGGAGCAAAGCGAGUCACGUGUGACUCAUUGAGAGUACCCGAAGAAAAAGCAUCGGCUAACUCCGUGCCAGCAGCCGCGGUAAUACGGAGGAUGCGAGCGUUAUCCGGAUUCAUUGGGUUUAAAGGGUGCGCAGGCGGGCCUUUAAGCCGGCGGUGAAAUCGCGGGG